AUGACUUCUCAGACCAAAUUCGUGAUGCUUCUUAUUCUCGCCACAGCAGGAGCAGCUUUGGAUCUGCCAGUAAAGAACUGCCCAACUGGAUGGACCUUCUAUUCUGGUCGCUGCUACUUGUACAAUGCCGCCAGACUGGAUUGGGCUUCUGCAGAGAAAUUCUGUCAGAAAUUUGAUGCACACUUGGUCUCAAUACACAGUGAGAAUGAAUAUCAGCAGAUAAGGGCUCUUAUCCGUACUCAUGACCCC